AUGGUGCUCCUGAGCUGGGACGAGGAAAUAACGGAAGUGAAAAUGAUGGAUACAGGUCUCCACAUCUGAAAGUUAGCAGCCAAGUUAGGGAGACAGUCAAUCUCCCAACACUCAGCUACAGGGCUGAUCCAGCUGAAAAUGAGACUCACAAUUUGAUCACACGGGUGCACAGUGACAACGUCGAUUGAAUUUGCAGCUCUGACAGAUGUGUUUUAUAAAGGCCGGGGCACUGAUCAGAGAGGAGCAGGAUGCCAGGGCAUGUUAUUGAACUUGGAUGAGUCUGAAAAACAGCUGCUUCUUGCUGUCUGGAGUGAUGAGUCUCUCCUUUCCUGAGAAGCCCGUGAGGAGUUCACAGGAGCAACUUCCCCAGGAGAACAUGGAGUCUCGUCUGCUGAGCUGCCAGCAGAAGCCUCUUCCUGUGCCCCAGGAUACUUGUCUCAGAGGAGAUCGUUAUGGUACCAUGGGAAUUUUCCUAUGACCCAUUGAUAGAGCAAGAAAAAAACAC
rnacentral:lncRNA from 1 species